rnacentral:lncRNA from 10 species
CCCAUCUGUAAAUGGAACACACGCGAUUUCAGCCGCCGUUCAACCUUUCUAAAAGCUUUCACAUCCAUUAUCUGACUGGUGUCUCAAACUGCUACUGAGGCUUCAGCUCUGAUCUGGACCAGUGCUCUCCAGGCCUACUGCACAGCUGUCAUACUGAACUUUCCUAUAUCCUACACCUGGUUGGGAUUCCCUGUGCCCUGGACCUUGUGUCUCAAACUUCUAGAUUGUGGAUUUACUCUGUCAUCUCUGUGCAGCACAUCUUUCUGUAGAUUCCUGAGAAAGGUUGCAAAGAAGCAAAUAUAUUUAGUCCUUGUAUGUCUAAAUAUGCAUUUAUACUGUUUUCACACUUGAUUAAUAGUUUAGCAGGGUAUAGAAAUCUAGGCUGAAGGCCAGGCGCCAUGUCU